rnacentral:rRNA from 1 species
AACGUAGGUGGCGAGCGUUAUCCGGAUUCAUUGGGCGUAAAGAGCUUGUAGGUGGCUAGAUAAGUUGGACGUGAAAACUCUGGGCUUAACUUGGAGAGGCCGUUCAAUACUGUUUGGCUAGAGGAUGUCAGAGGGAAGUAGAAUUCCUAGUGUAGCAGUGAAAUGCGUAGAUAUUAGGAGGAAUACCCGUGGCGAAGGCGGCUUCCUGGGGCAAACCUGACACUGAGAAGCGAAAGCUAGGGGAG